rnacentral:rRNA from 1 species
AUUGAACGCUGGCGGCAGGCCUAACACAUGCAAGUCGAACGAGUGGCGGACGGGUGAGUAAUGUCUGGGAAACUGCCUGAUGGAGGGGGAUAACUACUGGAAACGGUAGCUAAUACCGCAUACCAUCGGAUGUGCCCAGAUGGGAUUAGCUAGUUGGUGGGGUAACGGCUCACCAAGGCGACGAUCCCUAGCUGGUCUGAGAGGAUGACCAGCCAACCGGGAACUGAUACACGGCCCAGACUCCUACGGGAGGCAGCAUUGGGGAAUAUUGCGCAAUGGGGGCAAGCCUGAUGCAGCCAUGCCGCGUGAAUGAAGAAGGCCUUCGGGUUGUAAAGUACUUUCGGCGGGGAGGCGUUACCCACAGAAGAAGCACCGGCUAACUCCGUGCCAGCAGCCGCGGUAAUUC